CACUGCAAAAGAGCUGCAGUUCCUGUGCAGACAGGAGAACCUAGCAGAACGCCAUCUCUGUAGCACUCCAUCCAGUCCAGAACCCGGGGUCCUGAAGUCUCGACUUUUACGAUACUCAAACGAUGCGAUGUUAAUAUACCUCUCUGAUCUAACGAGUCUGGCUAGCUGUCGUGACCUCUCAGGUGGGCUUUGGCUACGAUGGAGAGUUGGAGAGGUGGUUGUUCUGCUAGGUUCUCCUGUCUGCACAGGAACUGCAGCUCUUUUGCAGUGAUGUUAAGGAGCCUAAUGACGAAUCAUGGUCAUAAUUAUGUUGGCCCAUGCUACAGCUCUUCACCAGAUAUAUAUAUGUAGAUACAUUGUUCAAAAAUCUUGGCACAUUGUUUUUUUAUGGAUUUUUUAUAGUCUUUAGUAACAGGUCUCCUUAGAUUUUCUUUUCUUCAUCAAAAAAUGACUUGAGUAGUGCAAUACAUUUACAUUUAGCAGACACUCUUAUCCAGAGUGACUUACAGAAAGUACAGGGACAUUCCCCCGAGGCAAGGAGGGUGAAGUGCCUUGCCCAAGGACACAGUCAUUUAGCACAGCCGGGAAUCAAACCAGCAACCUUCAGAUUAAUAGCCCGCUUCCCUAACCGCUCAGCCAUCUGACCCCCCAAUACUCAACUCUCUCUUUCUCUUGGCUUCAGAUUCCCACAGUGAAGACAUGUUUUUAUGUAUUUUAUGGUUUUCUUCAUUCCUUAUAGUACCAUACCAUUAGUAGAAUAGAAUAUCUUUAUUGUCAUUGUACAAAAAAUUAAACUUAGAAAAUAUAUUCUAUUCCAUAGUACUAAUGGUAUGGUGUUUGAGCAGCCAACAGUUAUGUAGCCUAUGUAGAGUGCGUCAGGGGGGUAUUCCAGGUAGCGGGUUUAACAAACUCUGAGAUUAACCCUGAACUCAGAGUUGAGUUACUCUAACAUGGGAAACUCCGAAAAUUCGGUUCCAGAACACCUGAUAUGAAUUAGUUAAUUCGACUCGGAGUACGUACGUCAACUCUGAGUUUAGCGCGUGCACGAGUUCUACUAAAAGCCAACAUCUAUGGAGCUCCGAUACUAGGAUUCACCAUGGAAAAAGGCGACAAAAAAAGGUCGUCCUAUUUCACCGCAAUGGAAUUGGAAAUUUUAAUCCGUGCGUAUGGCGAGUCCGAGCACAUAUUUAGGAAAAAAAGUAAUACGGCUGUAGCUGCAAAGGACAGACAAUUGGCGUGGGAAAGAAUUGCUGAUCGAGUCAAUACGUGCAAUCCCACAGGCGUGAAGCGCACUUGGCAACAACUGAAAAUGAAAUAUAAAAACGUAAUACAAACAGCAAAUAGAAAGAAGGCAGAGGCACGCAAAACGGGUGGAGGGCCACCACCAGCACCUCUGACCUCUGCAGAAGAGCUGGCUCUGAGCCACAACAUUGGCUGUCCAGUGGCUGAAGGCAUCCCUGGAGGAAGCUCAUCAGAGCCAAUCACCCCACAGGACACAAGUGCCUACAUAAGAUGUAAGUAUGUGCGAGUAUGUGUGUGAAUGUGUUUUCAUUUUCCACUCUGGUCCACUUCUAGUCACUGAUGGUGUAAUCCGAGUGGUUGAGCCUCCUGCAAGCCUUUGCACAACGGUACCACUUGAUGAUGAUGAUGAUGAGGACACAUUGACUGCUGCCACAGACGGGGUUGCAGAGAGGCCUACAUAUAUGAGCAUGGAUGAGCCUUGCCAGGAGAGGGGUCCAUCAACCUCCAAAACACAGCUACAGACAGUGAGAUGUUCAGUAAAUGGCAGGUGAAUUCUGUGUGUAGAACUGGGAUUUAAUGUAAUCCUAAUGUAUUCCCAGUUACCAGUUAAGGACUUGUACAAACUCCAUUUGUUAAAACAAAUGGAGAAAACUGACCAAGAGAUGGUGUAUUUGGUGAUGGUGUAAACUCAAAGUUUUCACUAAACCCGCUACUUGGAAUACCCCCCAGAUGUUACCUCUGGCCUUGACCACACAACAAACAACCAUCAACGCCCAGAACAUCAGUUGGGGUGAAGAUACAUAAAAAUAUGUUUAGCCCGAGAAUAUAUCACAGUUAUAAGUUAUAGCAUAUUGUGUGUCCUAAAUGCUUUUACAGCAAGCUGUUUAUCGUAAGCCUGUAAACUCAAUAGGUUAGAAUGGGCCUGGGUUUUCCUUUAUAUUGCAGUGUUUGGUUUAGAAAAGGAUGGCUAUAGCAAUAGUUAUGUUUAUAUGUGUACUUAUGCAGUGUUUCCUAUCAUUUUUUUUAACAGGUGGGGAAGGUCUGUCCGAACCCCCCACCCCCCGCCCAUAACAAAGUUCUAACCCUAACCCAAGAAUUUGGUUCAUUAAUCCAUUCUGUAGAAUGCGUUGUCUUAAGGUUAUUGAAUGUGUGGCUUUCUGGUAAAGAUUUCAAUUAUUCAAAAUGUUUGUUCUGCAAGCUGAAGCCAACGUCCAAAGUAUGUAUUGACUUUGUGGUAUUUAAAUAAUGAAUAAAUGUAAAUAAAAAAGUAUUUACUUUUCAUACCAGUUUUGAAUGUUUUUUGUAGCAACCAAAACUGCCAGUUUUUACUGUAA